rnacentral:rRNA from 2 species
GAACUUUCCAGAGAUGGAUUGGUGCCUUCGGGAACUGUGAGACAGGUGCUGCAUGGCUGUCGUCAGCUCGUGUUGUGAAAUGUUGGGUUAAGUCCCGCAACGAGCGCAACCCUUAUCCUUUGUUGCCAGCGGUCCGGCCGGGAACUCAAAGGAGACUGCCAGUGAUAAACUGGAGGAAGGUGGGGAUGACGUCAAGUCAUCAUGGCCCUUACGACCAGGGCUACACACGUGCUACAAUGGCGCAUACAAAGAGAAGCGACCUCGCGAGAGCAAGCGGACCUCAUAAAGUGCGUCGUAGUCCGGAUUGG